GCCUCAUUAGCUCAGUUGGAUAGAGUAGUGGUCUUCGAAACCAUUGGUCGGGCGUUCGAGUCGCUCAUGGGGCACCA
rnacentral:tRNA from 2 species